GGGCCGGGGUCAGGCUUGGGGACGAAGCUGGCGGUGGUGGUGAUGAAACUGGCGGUGGUGGAGGUGGUGAAACUGGCGGUGGCGGAGGUGGUGAAGGUGGCGGCGAAGGUGGCGGCGAAGGUGGCGGCGAAGGUGGCGGCGAAGGUGGUGGUGAAGGGGGUGGCGGCGAAGGUGGUGGUGAGGGGGGUGGCGGCGAAGGUGGUGGUGAGCGGGGUGGCGGUGAAGGUGGUGGUGAGGGGGGUGGCGAACGUGGGCGCGGCGGUGGGCGUGGGGACGGGGGUGGAGGCGAUGG
rnacentral:lncRNA from 1 species